UGGAGAGAUGGACAGGUGGCGUUCGUCACAGGCGGCACGUGGCGCUCUGAUGACAAAGCCAGUCCUCUUCUAUCUUCGUGCAAGGCACACACGCCUAAAGUAUUGUCAGUAGAUAAAGCGCUGCCGCUGGUUAGCGGUAUACUGCGCCGGAUCCGUAGGAACCUGCGUAGGUAACAGGAAACGAUCAGCGGAAGGUUGCGUUGCCGCCACCUCAGCUGCCAAGUGAAGAAUUCCGCGGUGAUCCCAGCUUAUAUAGCUUCCAGUUGCUGAUGGUUCCUGGAGAGAUGGACAGGUGGCGUUCGUCACAGGCGGCACGUGGCGCUCUGAUGACAAAGCCAGUCCUCUUCUAUCUUCGUGCAAGGCACACACGCCUAAAGUAUUGUCAGUAGAUAAAGCGCUGCCGCUGGUUAGCGGUAUACUGCGCCGGAUCCGUAGGAACCUGCGUAGGUAACAGGAAACGAUCAGCGGAAGGUUGCGUUGCCGCCACCUCAGCUGCCAAGUGAAGAAUUCCGCGGUGAUCCCAGCUUAUAUAGCUUCCAGUUGCUGAUGGUUCCUGGAGAGAUGGACAGGUGGCGUUCGUCACAGGCGGCACGUGGCGCUCUGAUGACAAAGCCAGUCCUCUUCUAUCUUCGUGCAAGGCACACACGCCUAAAGUAUUGUCAGUAGAUAAAUCGCUGCCGCUGGUUAGCGGUAUACUGCGCCGGAUCCGUAGGAACCUGCGUAGGUAACGAUCA